UUUCAGAUUUUUUAAUUUAUAAAAACAAUUUUCAGAAUUUUAAAAAUAAGCCAGGGGUAUUUUUGUCAAUUCUCAUGCCAUUUUGCUAAUUUGAUGACGUGACAGUGAUUAUCCGGGAAGAGGGACGAACUUUCAAAUGAUUAGUAAUUACAGAGGCAAAAUGGAAGGAUUAGUAAGUUCAGGGAUGAAAAAUCAAACGGCCUAUAAUUACAGGGAUGAAAAGCAUAUUUUUCCCUAAUAAUAAUAAUAUCAGAAAUGAUAACUGAACACACUAUUCUAAACACAAUAUAGACACCAUAGAUAAUUUGAUCUUUUCAACAUUAAAGCUGGGGCAUUACUGUAAUUACACGGCACCUCUCUUCUUCAUCUUCUCUGCAGAAGCACAAAACUCCUUCUCCCACAAUCCUUUCACGACCACCAUCCUUCCCGCCGUCAUACUCACCACCGUCCUCCCUCUUCUUCAUCUCUUCGUGUAUCUUCUCUCUAUUUUCACCAUCCUCCUUUCCGCCACGGUCGUCCACGCCUCCGUCUCUCUCAGAUCUAGAUCUCACGUCGCCGGAGAUUCGAUCACACCCUGCGAGAUCCAUUCAUCCGCCGCCGCCACCGUCCAAGACUCACUCUGUUUUCCUAUAUCUCUAACCUAUCUCUCUGUUAGAGAGGGAAAAUUGAAACGAAGAGAGAGAUGCAAGACUGAGAGAGUGCAGAGUUGCAGAAGAGGAGAGGGAAAGGAAGAAAGAAAAAAGAUAAAAGAAAAAUACUGUAUAAUUAUAUGGUUGUGUCUGUCCACUUAUCAUUUCUGUAAUGAUAUGAAUGAAUACAUGAAACAUAUCAACAAAGUUUAUUUUUUAUAUCGGUUACACUUUUAACCGUUCUAAAAAGUCAUACUUCACUAUUUUAAACAACACGAUGCCAGAA
rnacentral:lncRNA from 1 species